AUUUUCUAGUCAUUCUUAUAGUUUCUAAAGAUAAUGUUUUAUGUCAUUACAGAUUUUGAAGACUCAAUUUAUCAUUGAAGAUGAAGAUUUCAAAAACAUCAUACAACCUAACAAGGCGAUUAUCAUUUGGCUCUUGUUGAUGAAUAUAUGAACAAUGGUUGCCAAGAAAAUAUGUUGUUCCGAGGAGCUACACGACCGGAUUGGAAC
rnacentral:lncRNA from 1 species